CGGGGUGAGGAACACGUGGGUUAUCUGCCUUGAGGGUGAGGAAUACCGGCGAGAAAUCGCCGACAAUACCGCAUACCCUUUGCACAAAGGAAAGCUUCGCAAGAGGCGCCACAAGAUGAGCCUGCGGCCGAUUAGCUGGUUGGUGGGGUAACGGCCUACCAAGGCGACGAUCGGUAGCUGGUCUGAGAGGACGAUCAGCCACACUGGGAUUGAGAACGGCCCAG
rnacentral:rRNA from 1 species